GAUGAACGCUGGCGGCGUGCCUAAUACAUGCAAGUCGAGCGAACAGAUAAGGAGCUUGCUCCUUUGACGUUAGCGGCGGACGGGUGAGUAACACGUGGAUAACCUACCUAUAAGACUGUGAUAACUUCGGGAAACCGGAGCUAAUACCGGAUAACAUAUUGAACCGCAUGGUUCAAUAGUGAAAGGCGGCUUUGCUGUCACUUAUAGAUGGAUCCGCGCCGUAUUAGCUAGUUGGUAAGGUAACGGCUUACCAAGGCAACGAUACGUAGCCGACCUGAGAGGGUGAUCGGCCACACUGGAACUGAGACACGGUCCAGACUCCUACGGGAGGCAGCAGUAGGGAAUCUUCCGCAAUGGGCGAAAGCCUGACGGAGCAACGCCGCGUGAGUGAUGAAGGUCUUCGGAUCGUAAAACUCUGUUAUCAGGGAAGAACAAAUGUGUAAGUAACUGUGCACAUCUUGACGGUACCUGAUCAGAAAGCCACGGCUAACUACGUGCCAGCCGCCGCCGUAA
rnacentral:rRNA from 1 species